GACGAACGCUGGCGGCUUGCUUAACACAUUCAAGUCGAACGAAGUGGCGAACGGGUGAGUAACGCGUAAUCAACCUGCCCUUCAGAGGGGGACAACAGUUGGAAACGACUGCUAAUACCGCAUACUGAAGGAGGGGAUUGCGUCUGAUUAGCUAGUUGGAGGGGUAACGGCCCACCAAGGCGAUGAUCAGUAGCCGGUGUGAAGGGAUGGACGGCCACAAUGGGACUGAGGCACGGCCCAGAGUCCUAAGGGAGGCAGCAGUGGGGAAUCGUCCGCAAUGGACGAAAGUCUGACGGAGCAACGCCGAGUGAGUGAUGACGGCCUUCGGGUUGUAAAGCUCUGUUAAUCGGGACGCGGUACCGGAAUAGAAAGCCACGGCUAACUACGUGCCAGCCGCCGCGGUAAUAC
rnacentral:rRNA from 1 species